rnacentral:lncRNA from 1 species
GAAGAUGCAGCACAAAUUGGCCCCUGUGGUGCUCACAUGAUUUCCUUGUGCUUUCCUAGGGUGGGAUGCAGCGUGGGAGUGCCGGGGUGUGGAGUUGCAGCUGGUGUUUCACGUUGCUGAACUAAAGCCUUGGUUGCACUCAGCAUUCAGAUGCUGGGGACACUGUGGUGACCUGACACAAGGUAGCAUAGAGAUGGCAUUGCCCUCAGCCUGCUAGCAACAGGAGGGUCGGGGUCCAUCCUCAGCAUGUGCAGGCUGCCCCUCGUCCGCAGCGGGAAUCAAACUGACGCUGCAUGUCUCUUAACAGUUUCAGGUUUUGCCUUGUCCCAUGUUUGGAUGUGAUGAUUUGGGUUGGCUCUGGCCACCUGCAAUACCCUGAGUUAUUAGAAAAUGUAAGGAGCUAUUCGUCAUCCCUGUUUCCUGUGUCCUUAACCUUUCUCUGUUUUUAGUUUCUCAGCAUUCAAGGGCUGAGCCAGUGCUCUUUAGUGAAGGACGUCUUUUUGUGGAUAUGAACAAUUUCUCCCCACUUCUCUUUCCCAUCUUGUCUCUAACGUGGAGGGAAGGGAGUGAUGUUUGUCCACAGCACCUUCGGCAACUAUCAUGACAUGUUUGCGAUCGUCACCGUCUUGUGCUAGACGCAUAGUCAUGAUGCAUAUUUGGCACAUUUGGUGCUCAA